GUGGGGAAUUUUGGACAAUGGGCGCAAGCCUGAUCCAGCAAUGCCGCGUGCAGGAAGAAGGCCUUCGGGUUGUAAACUGCUUUUGUACGGAACGAAACGGUCCUGGCUAAUACCUGGGGCUAAUGACGGUACCGUAAGAAUAAGCACCGGCUAACUACGUGCCAGCAGCCGCGGUAAUACGUAGGGUGCGAGCGUUAAUCGGAAUUACUGGGCGUAAAGCGUGCGCAGGCGGUGCUGUAAGACAGGCGUGAAAUCCCCGGGCUCAACCUGGGAAUUGCGCUGGUGACUGCAGUGCUGGAGUGCGGCAGAGGGGGAUGGAAUUCCGCGUGUAGCAGUGAAAUGCGUAGAUAUGCGGAGGAACACCGAUGGCGAAGGCAAUCCCCUGGGCCUGCACUGACGCUCAUGCACGAAAGCGUGGGGAGCAAACAGGAUUAGAUACCCUGGUAGUCC
rnacentral:rRNA from 1 species